CACGUAGGGGGCGAGCGUUGUCCGGAUUUAUUGGGCGUAAAGAGCUCGUAGGCGGCUUGUCGCGUCUGCGUGUGAAAACCCGAGGCUCAACCUCGGGCCUGCAGUGGGUACGGGCAAGCUAGAGUGCGGUAGGGGGAGAUUGGAAUUCCACGUGUGCGGUGAAAAUGCGUAGAGAUGUGGAGGAACACGAUGGCGAAGGCAGCCUCCUGGGCCAACACUGACGCUCGAUGCACGAAAGCCGUGGGGAGC
rnacentral:rRNA from 1 species